GAGAUAUGACGUCAUUGUGCUGCGACCUUUGUUUAACGCCGUUGGCGAAGCCAGGCUGUCCUAGGAAGCCGAGUGGGAGUGGCACGGAGCUGCUGGAGGUCCUGAGAACCUGAGUUUCGGCAAGCAACCAGGUCUGGAAACUAAUAUUUUAAAAAUGACUACACCAAACAAGACACCUCCUGGUGCUGACCCCAAGCAGUUGGAAAGGACUGGAACAGUACGGGAAAUUGGGUCACAAGCUGUUUGGUCACUCUCAUCUUGCAAACCAGGAUUUGGAGUGGAUCAGUUACGAGAUGACAAUCUAGAAACUUAUUGGCAAUCAGAUGGUUCCCAGCCUCAUUUAGUGAACAUCCAAUUCAGAAGAAAAACAACAGUGAAGACAUUAUGUAUUUAUGCAGACUACAAAUCUGAUGAAAGCUAUACUCCAAGCAAGAUCUCAGUCAGAGUAGGAAAUAAUUUUCACAACCUUCAAGAAAUUCGGAAGUGAAGAAUCAAGUGAGAAUGGAGGAGGUGAAGCUCUUAUCACUAAAAGAAUGUUUAAGUUACUGCUGCAGAUGCAUCUUCUCAUUCCCCAACCCACCCUCAGCUUCUGGUAACCACCAGUCUGCUCUGCUUCCGAGUUCAACUUAUAAAAAUUCUACGUAUAUGUGAGUUCAGUAGUAUUUGUCUUUCUGUGCCUGGCUUAUUUCACUUUACAUAGUGUCUUCCAAGUUCAUCCAUGUUAUCACAAAUGACAAGAUUUCUUGCUUUUUAACAGCUGAGUAGUAUUCUAUUGUGUAUGUGUAAAUAUAUAUGUGCUUGUGUGUGUGUGUAUGCACACAUUUUAAAAAUUCAUUCAUCCAUCAGCGGACACUUAGGUUGAUUCUAUAGUGUGACUAUUAUGAAUGCUUCAGUGAAUGUGGGAGUGCAGAUCUCUCUUCAACGUACUGAUUUUUUUUCUCCUUUGGAUAUAUACCCAGAUGCAAGAUUGCUGAAUGAUAUGGUAGUUCUACUUUUUAAUUUUUGAGGAACCUCUACACCAUUUUUCAUAAUGGCUAUACUAGUUUAUAUUCCCACCAACAGUGUGCAAGGUUUCUAUUUUCUCAUCCUCACCAAUACUUACCUUUUGUCUUUUUGAUGAAAGCCAUCCUAAUGGGUGUGAAAUGAUAUCUCAUUGUGGUUUUAAUUUGCAUUUCCUUAAUGAUUAGUGAUGUUGAGCAUUUUUUUUUCCCCACUUACCUGUUGACCAUUUGUAUGUCUGCUUUUGAGGAGUGUCUAUUCAGGUCCCUUGCACAUUUAUAAAAUUGGAUUAUUUGUUUUCUUGCUAUUCAUUCUCUACACUUUUACUCCUCCUUCAUUUUAUGUGUUUAAUGUUAUAAUUUACUUGUUUCUUUUUAAGACAGUGUUUUGCUGUGUCACCUAGGCUGGAGUACAGUGGUGCAAUCUUGGCUCACUGCCUUGACCAACUUCCCAGGCUCGAGGGCUCCUCCCUUCUCAGCCUCCCAAGAAGCUGGGACUACAGGCAUGCACCACCAUGCCUGGCUGAUUUAUUUUUAUUUUAAUUUUUAUUUAUUUAUUUAUUUAUUUUUUAGAGACGAGUUUUCACUAUAUUGCCCAGGCUUAUAACUUAUAUUUUUUAUGUUGUGUGUUCUUUAAGAAAUUAAUAUAACUAUGGUUAUUUUUUAGUAGUUUUGUCUUUUAGCCUUUACACUAGAAAUAUUUGAUUUACAGACCAUUACAGUAUUAAUGUAGAACUUUGUUCCUUAGUUCAGCUGAAACCAGGUUCUUGUCAUACGAACAGGAAAGAUUAGGAACAGGGAGACCUUGGAGGGUGAGGGGAAUGAAAUUUAUUGGGUAAAAAGGAAAAUGAAAAAAGAAAAAAACUCUCAGCAAAGCAAAAGGGAGUCCUUCUGACAGGCUCUCCACCUCACAGAUUGAUUCCAGGCCACACACACACAGGAACUGAAGAGGCCAGGCUCUUCCCUCCUGGACACAGUGUGAACUUCUCAUGGCAACCCACCUGCACACUUCAUUCUCCCAGUGCACAGGUGGGUUGGAGAUUCUCCAGGAACCCUCACCCUUAUCUGCCUCCCACAUCUAUCAUUCCUCCCUCUAAAGAAGUACAUUUAACUGCCAUUAAAAUAAGGAUAAGGAUAAGGAUGAAGACUGAUCUUAACUGCUUCCUGCUGACAGGGGGCACUGUUUUGGGGAAAAUGGCAGUUGGAUCUCUCUCAGAGGCCUAUCUGAGGGUCCCUGGCAAAAGGGGUCAUUGUCCGAGGCUCUGGUUGCAUGACGUUUGGAGUUUGAUGGCCUGAAGGUGAAAAGAGACAAACUUAGCUAAAUAACAAACUUAGUUAUUAGAAAACAUGUAUCAAAACGAAAUAAGGUGGAGGUGACAGCUCAAAAAUCCCAAGACCUUUUACCAGUUUGCACAGGGAAAAGGAGGACAAAAGCCCAACUGAUAAAAAAAACUUUUACCCUUUUGCUGGCAUGUUGGGCUUCUGGGUUCCCUUCCCCUAAGCCCAGUCCUAAGGCAACCAGUUUAAGGUUUGGGAAAUUAACUUUUCCCAGUUUGGAGGAUGUAUCCGAGGGGAGUGUCCCAUAGUACAAAGACACAAUUACCUAUCAGCGAAGAGAGGACAGAGGAGGAAAAAAGAAAAAAGGUAUUUUUUUCAAAGGCAUGCCAAGGGUUCAGGAUGCAUUCAAAAGGGGUGCAGACUGAAGAUGAAUGUCUACUUAUCUAGAAAGAGGAGAGCGAGGCAUCCCAGGUUCCCUUCUCUUCCUAGAAAAUACCUGGGGUACAUGAGGGAGAGAAAGUGAGGCAUCCUUCUUUCUUUCUUCCAUUUUUAUAACUCCCAGUCCCAGAGACCGCGAAAGAGUGCAACCCAUUGGUGGCUUUCACCCAUGUUAAUGGGAGCAGGGUGGAGGGGGUGUGGACAGGGGAUGGGAAUAUUCACUCUUACCCAUGUAUGUGCUAUUUUCCCUGCUGUCAGUAGCCUUUGAAUUCCUUAGAUCUAAAGGCUGGGCCAGGUGGCUCACGCCUGUAAUCCCAGCACUUUGGGAGGUCGAGAUGGGUGGAUAACGAGGUCAGGAGUUCAAGACCAGCCUGGACAAGAAGCUGAAACCCCAUCUCUACCAAAAAUACAAAAAUUAGCUGGGCAUGGUGGCACAAGCCUGUAAUCUCAGCUACUUGGGAGGCUGAGGCAAGAGAAUUGCUUGAACCCAGGCAGCAGAGGUUGCAGUGAGCUGAUAUUGCACCACUGCACUCCAGCCCAGGCAACAGAGCAAGACUCUGUCUCAAAAUAAGUAAAUAAGUAAAUAAAUAAGUAAUAAAAAAUGAAUUCCUUAGACCUCAUUUAUGCCAUGGAUACUAGCAUGACCUUUAUUCAUGAAAUGGGAAGCUGAAAAGAAACAAACAAAGCCUCCAAGAAAUAUGGGACUAUGUGAAAAGACCAAAUCUACGUCUGAUUGGUGUACCAGAAAGUGAUGAGGAGAAUGGAACCAAGUUGGAAAACACUCUUCAGGAUAUUAUCCAGCAGAGCUUCCCCAACCUAGCAAGGCAGGCCAACAUUUAAAUUCAGGAAAUACAGAGAAGACCACAAAGAUACUCCUCGAGAAGAGCAACCCCAAGACACAUAAUUGUCAGAUUCACCAGGUUGAAAUGAAGGAAAAAAUGUUAAGGGCAGCUAGAGAGAAAGGUCGGGUUACCCACAAAGGGAAGCCCAUCAGACUAACAGCAGAUCUCUCAAUAGAAACCCUACAAGCCAGAAGACAGUGGGGGCCAAUAUUCAACAUUCUUAAAGAAAAGAAUUUUCAACCCAGAAUUUCAUAUGCAGCCAAACUAAGCUCAUAAGUGAAGGACAAAUAAAAUCCUUUACAGACAAGCAAAUGCUGAGAGAUUUUGUUACCACCAGGCCUGCCUUACAAGAGCUCCUGAAGGAAGCACUAAACAUGGAAUGGAAUGAAUGGUACCAGCCACUGCAAAAACAUGCCAAAUUGUAAAGAUCAUCGACACUAUGAAGAAACUGCAACUAAUGGGCAAAAUAACCAGCUAGCAUCAUAAUGACAGGAUCAAAUUCACACAUAACAAUAUUAACCUUAAAUGUAAAUGGGCUAAAUGCCUCAAUUAAAAGACACAGACUGCCAAAUUGAAUGGAGAGUCAAGACUCAUCGGUGUGCUGUAUUCAGGAGACCCAUCUCACGUGCAGAGACACACAUAGGCUCAAAAUAAAGGGAUGGAGGAAUAUUUUACAAGCAAAUAGAAAGAAAAAAAAAGCAAUGGUUCCAAUCCUAGUCCCUGAUAAAACAGACUUCAAACCAACAAAGAUCAAGAGACACAAAGAAGGCCAUGACAUAAUGGUAAAGGGAUCAAUUCAACAAUAAGAGCUAACUAUCCUAAAUAUAUAUACACCCGAUACAGGAGCACCCAGAUUCAUAAAGCAAGUUCUUAAAGACCUACAAAGAGACUUAGUCACCCACACAAUAAUAGUAGGAGACUUUAACUCCCCACUGUCAAUAUUAGAUCAAUGAAACAGAAAAUUAACAAGGAUAUCCAGGACUUGAACUCAGCUCUGGAUCAAGAGGACUUAAUAGACAUCUACAGAACUCUCCACCCCAAAUCAACAGAAUAUACAUUCUUCUCAAUGCCACAUCUCACUUAUUCUAAAAUUGACCACAUAAUUGGAAGUAAAACACUCCUCAGCAAAUGCAAAACAAAAAACAAAA